AGGCAGGAGGCCCAGGCCCUUAGUCCUCGAUGCCCAGCAGGCUCCAUUGAUCUUGGGCAGGUCUCUUCUCUACCCAGGCCUCAGCCUCCACAUCUUUCAAGUAGGGAUGAUAAUCCUGUUUUCUGGUUGCGGUGAGGACACAAGGAAAUCAGGGGCUUAGAGGUACUUUAUAACAUGAUGUCUCUCUACAUUACUUUGUGUAUUUAAAAAAAAAUCUUAAUACAGCCAGGCGUGGUGGCUCAUGCCUGUCAUCCCAGGACGUUGGGAGGCUGAGGUAGGAGGAUUGCUUGAGCCCAGGAGUUCGAAACCAGCUUGACCAAUACACGGUUAGUGAGCCAUUAGUGAUCAGUGAGUUGUGAUCUAUCGCACCACUGCACUCCAGCACUCCGGCCUGGGAGACCUACCAAAACCAAGAUGGCAAUGAUAGUGACCUCUGGUGGUCCUCACUGCUCAUUACAUGCUAAUUAUAAUGCAUUAGCAUGGUAAAAAAUACUCUCAC
rnacentral:lncRNA from 1 species